UUACCUGGUUUGAUCCUGCCAGUAGUCAUAUGCUUGUCUCAAAGAUUAAGCCAUGCAUGUCUAAGUACAGGCCGAACCAAGGCGAAACCGCGAAUGGCUCAUUAAAUCAGUUAUGGUUCAUUGGAUCUUACCUUGUUUUACUUGGAUAACUGUGGUAAUUCUAGAGCUAAUACGUGACACUCCAGCUCCGACCGCAAGGAAAGAGCGCUUUUAUUAGAUCAAAACCAAUCGGGCUUCGGUCCGUUCUCACUGUGGUGACUCUGAAUAACUUUGAGCUGAGCGCAUGGUCUUCGAACCGGCGCCGUAUCCUUCAAGUGUCUGCCUUAUCAGCUUUCGAUUGUAGGUUAUGCGCCUACAAUGGCUAUAACGGGUAACGGGGAAUCAGGGUUCGAUUCCGGAGAGGGAGCCUGAGAAACGGCUACCACAUCUAAGGGAGGCAGCAGGCACGCAAAUUACCCACUCCCGGCUCGGGGAGGUAGUGACGAAAAAUAACGAUGCGGGACUCUUCCGAGGCCUCGCAAUCGGAAUGAGCACACUUUAAAUCCUUUAACGAGGAUCUAUUGGAGGGCAAGUCUGGUGCCAGCAGCCGCGGUAAUUCCAGCUCCAAUAGCGUAUAUUAAAGUUGCUGCGGUUAAAAAGCUCGUAGUUGGAUCUCAGUUCCGGACCGACGGUUCACCGCCCGGUGCUUACUGUCGGCUUCCGAACAGCCGCACGCCGGCUCGGCCAGGGUGCUCUUCAUCGAGUGUCCUGGUUUCGGCCGGCACGUUUACUUUGAAAAAAUUAGAGUGCUCAGCGCAGGCUGCAACGCCUGAAUAAUCUGUGCAUGGAAUAAUGGAAUAGGACCUCGGUUCUAUUUUGUUGGUUUUCGGAACCCGAGGUAAUGAUUAAUAGGAACUGUCGGGGGCAUUCGUAUUGCGACGUUAGAGGUGAAAUUCUUGGAUCGUCGCAAGACGGACUACUGCGAAAGCAUUUGCCAAGAA
rnacentral:rRNA from 1 species